GAGUUAGCCAUGAUUAUAAAAAUAAUUUCUCGAUCUGACUUGCUUAAUUUGGGCAUGACAAACCUUUUUAUUACACCUAUAGAAUAUGAACUAC
rnacentral:snoRNA from 1 species